CGUAGGGUCCAAGCGUUAUCCGGAAUCACUGGGCGUAAAGCGUCCGCAGCCGGAAGCUUAAGUGAGAUGUUAAAUCGUGUGGCUCAACCAUAUCGAUGCAUCUCAUACUGGGUUUCUAGAGGAUGGCAGAGGCAAGUGGAAUUAGCAGUGUAGCAGUGAAAUGCGUAGAUAUUGCUAGGAACACCAAUGGCGAAGGCAGCUUGCUGGGCCAUUUCUGACGGUCAUGGACGAAAGCGUGGGGAGGCGAACAGGAUUAGAUACCCUGGUAGUCCACGCCGUAAACGAUGCAUACUAGACGUAUGGGGUAUCGACCCCCUGUGCGUCGAAGCUAACGCGAUAAGUAUGCCGCCUGGGAAGUACGGCCGCAAGGCUA
rnacentral:rRNA from 1 species